GAUGAAUGCUGGCGGAAUGCUUUACACAUGCAAGUCGAACGGCAGCACGGACUUCGGUCUGGUGGCGAGUGGCGAACGGGUGAGUAAUGUAUCGGAACGUGCCCAGUCGUGGGGGAUAACGUAGUGAAAAUUACGCUAAUACCGCAUACGAUCUAUGGAUGAAAGCGGGGGAUCGCAAGACCUCGCGCGAUUGGAGCGGCCGAUAUCAGAUUAGGUAGUUGGUGGGGUAAAGGCCCACCAAGCCAACGAUCUGUAGCUGGUCUGAGAGGACGACCAGCCACACUGGAACUGAGACACGGUCCAGACCCCUACGGGAGGCAGCGGUGGGGAAUUUUGGACAAUGGGCGAAAGCCUGAUCCAGCCAUUCCGCGUGCAGGAUGAAGGCCCUCGGGUUGUAAACUGCUUUUGUACAGAACGAAAAGGUUUCUACUAAUACUAGGAGCUCAUGACGGUACUGUAAGAAUAAGCACCGGCUAACUACGUGCCAGCCGCCGCGGUAAAAC
rnacentral:rRNA from 1 species